UGGAAGGAAUGCAACGGAAAUCAUUGAUGCUUCGAUGUUGUACUUGGGAAAAUAAGGUCUGAAUGCAGAAGUUCAGUUGGUCCGAAGUCGCAGAGCCAAUUAAAACACAAUGGUGGAAUGCAACAUGGAUGCGGUUGUAGCAAACAAAGAAUACAAUAUAUGUAUCUGCCAACAAAUGCUGAACCUAUCAUCAUGCAUGUUCGGAGGUGUUGCGCCUGUUUUCUUUGUUUGCUGGGUUUGGACUACAAAUGAAGAAACCUAGAAUAAUUAUUUUUUUCGUGAUGACAAUGAGAUCAUCUGAUCAGGGGCCAAUCUCAAGCAUGUGGAAAUAGAUUAGUCCCAAGAUAUUUAAUUGUCUACUCAUUAGUGAGUCUUAGUUCUAAGUCAGUUAGUUACACAACGUUUGCUAAGAUGUUGAGACUUAUUUGAACAAGAUAGGGUCCAUAUUAUUAACAUUGCUCGACUACAAGCUCUUUCAAGGAGGUUGAAUCAACUUUCAGGAGUUCCACAAUCUGAUUUUUAAUAGGUGGAAGGAUGGAUAUUCAGGACUUUGUUUCCGAAGAUUACUGCUUACAUGUUAAUAAGUUGAAGAAUUCAAACUCAAGGGAAGUACUAGGCGGUGGUGGAUUUUCCGAGCCUUAACAAUGGGUAAGAGAUUCAGGAUGGCACUCGGUGCAAAAGGGUUUGUACAAUGAGCAAGCAAAAUGUUACAGUAAUGCAUUAAAACGGUGGAAUUGAAACAGUGAUUUGAGUGACUUUUAACUUUUUGGAUGUAUGCAUUUUUUAUGGUGGCAGAAGAUUCUUAAGUAGCUCCCGGAUUUCCAAUCUCAUGGAAUAUAGGGCUAUAUUAAUAGCUAAAACAUUUUCGAAUGUAAUUGAAAUUUCAAGUGUUGUCCUAGCCAUGAUUUUUUGUUUUUGUUUUUGUUUUUG